CACACACAGAAGGGUGUUGCUUAAGAUGUAUACAGGGAAGAUAUUCCUGCCAAAAUAAGAGGCCAGGCUGCAACCCUUAUGCAACUCCUUGUGAAAUAUUUUGGAUAAUUUCUACAUUUAGGACCUAAGGCAUUCAGUAAAAUUGUGACGUAGUAGCUAUAAAAAUCCUUUGAAAUAAUAAUUUAAAAAAAAGUUUCAAGAUAGGUUAUGGAGACUAGACAGACUGGAAUGUUGUGACGCAGUGUAGUCAACAGCCAAGGCGCCCAUCGCACGUAUACAACUGAAAACAAGAACCAUUCACAAGCGUAUUUGAGUCCACCAGGAAGACAAUCCUGUUCUUAAUGUAGGACAUUCGGAGCCCCUUUCACACUUUCGACCUUCUAUGUCCUUGCAGCGCAAAUAAAUCUACGCAGACGCCAUGAGGACGGAAACAAAACGAAAAUUUACUGCCGAGAGACUUUGAACUGCAAGUGUAUUGAGAGUUGAUGGCCAUUGAUGGAACACCAAUCAGCUUCCUUUUAGUUUAUACAAAAUCUCCCCGAUUUCUUGUUAUAGUUCUGGCGUGCUGCGGGUGACAUCGUCCAGGAAGCAACACGUUACUGCUGCUGACUUACAAGGCUGCAGCCAGAUUGAGUAUCAUUGGCUAGAAUCCUAAAGAAAAUGAAUCAAAUAAUAUAAGAUAAAGCAGAUACAGUUUUCAGUAAAUUAAAUCUUUUGCUAUGUGACUGAAAUAAAAACAACCUGCCACUUUGGGGGCUGUAUGAAUGUGAUACAAGAUGAUUCAAUCAGCAUUGUAGAAACAUUAGCUUUCUGUAAAUGUCUCCCCUAACCAGAGAAACACUGAAGACACAGUAGGCCCCAUCUCGCAGCAUGGUGCCUGUACAUUUAAAGACUAAUUUAAGUGUUUUGUUUUUACAGUACCUACUGUAUAUAGGAGCUAGUUUCACUGGUUUCAGUGUUUGUUAUCAAUGAUAUUUAUGCUGUUCUAGACAAAAAGGGUACGGUUUGUGAUACGGUUAGUAAGAGCAGGUUCUUUAUUAUUAGUGGCAGAAGGGGCUUAUUACAAAUUGUGUUAAGGUAGAUAUUACAAAACACCAGUAAGGCAGUAUAGUAGACUAUUAAUCAGCUUGUAUACGACACGUUGAAAAAAGUGACAAAAAAAACUCUAUAGAAAACUGUAACCUAAUUAUGUGUACCAUCCCUUAGCUUUCACCGGCAGAACUAAUACUGUAAGUAUCUCAGGGUGUGAUCUGUAAUGUCCAAUUAUCCUGCUUGUUAUAUAAUGUCCCCAUUUAUUCCAGACUGCUUUGAAUGCAGCAUUCACUGAAAAUAAAUGAAGGCAUCACAUGUUGCGCAUGGA